rnacentral:rRNA from 1 species
UACGGGGGGAGCAAGCGUUGUUCGGAUUUACUGGGCGUAAAGGGCGCGUAGGCGGCCACCGCAAGUCGACUGUGAAAUCUCCGGGCUUAACCCGGAAAGGUCAGCCGAUACUGCGGGGCUAGAGUGCAGAAGGGGCAACUGGAAUUCUCGGUGUAGCGGUGAAAUGCGUAGAUAUCGAGAGGAACACCUGCGGCGAAGGCGGCUUGCUGGGCCAGUUCUGACGCUGAGGAGCGAAAGCGUGGGGAGCGAACAGG